rnacentral:rRNA from 1 species
CUACGGGAUGCUGCAGUGAGGAAUAUUGGUCAAUGGGCGAAAGCCUGAACCAGCCAUGCCGCGUGAAGGAUGACGGCCCUAUGGGUUGUAAACUUCUUUUAUACGGGAAGAAACACCUCUACGUGUAGAGGUUUGACGGUACCGUACGAAUAAGCAUCGGCUAACUCCGGGCCAGCAGCCGCGGUAAUACGGAGGAUGCAAGCGUUAUCCGGAUUUAUUGGGUUUAAAGGGUACGUAGGCGGAAACUUAAGUCAGUAGUGAAAUCCCGCAGCUUAACUGUGGAACUGUUAUUGAUACUGGGUUUCUUGAAUAUUGUUGAGGUAGGCGGAAUAAGUAAUGUAGCGGUGAAAUGCUUAGAUAUUACUUAGAACACCGAUUGCGAAGGCAGCUUACUAAGCAAUUAUUGACGCUGAGGUACGAAAGCGUGGGGAGCGAACAGGAUUAGAUACCCGGGUAGUC